CGGGGUGCAGCAGGCGCGAAAACUUUGCAAUGCGGGAAACUGUGACAAGGGAACUCUGAGUGCCCGUUAAAUCGGGCUGUCCAUCGGUUUAAAUAACCGGUGAAGAAAGGGCCGGGCAAGACCGGUGCCAGCCGCCGCGGUAAUACCGGCGGCUCGAGUGGUGGCCGCUUUUACUGGGCUUAAAGGGUCCGUAGCUGGAUUCACAAGUCCCUUGAGAAAUCUAUCGGCUUAACUGAUAGGCGUUCAGGGGAUACUGUGGUUCUAGGGACCGGGAGAGGUGAGAGGUACUGCCGGGGUAGGAGUGAAAUCCUGUAAUCCCGGUGGGACGACCUAUGGCGAAGGCAUCUCACCAGAACGGCUCCGACAGUGAGGGACGAAAGCUGGGGGAGCAAACCGGAUUAGAUACCCGGGUAGUCCCAGCUGUAAACGAUGCGCGUUAGGUGUGUCAGUGACCACGUGUCACUGAGGUGCCGAAGGGAAACCGUGAAACGCGCCGCCUGGGGAGUACGGUCGCAAGGCUGAAACUUAAAGGAAUUGGCGGGGGAGCAC
rnacentral:rRNA from 1 species